rnacentral:rRNA from 1 species
UACGAAGGGGGCUAGCGUUGUUCGGAAUUACUGGGCGUAAAGGGCGCGUAGGCGGUCAGUGCAAGUCAGUUGUGAAAUCUCCGGGCUUAACUCGGAAAGGUCAACUGAUACUGCUCGACUAGAGUGCGGAAGGGGCAACUGGAAUUCUUGGUGUAGCGGUGAAAUGCGUAGAUAUCAAGAGGAACACCUGCGGCGAAGGCGGGUUGCUGGGCCGACACUGACGCUGAAGUGCGAAAGCUAGGGGAGCGAUCCGG